GCGAAAGUGGCGGAAUUGGUAGACGCCCUGGAUUUAGGUUCCAGUGCCCAAGGCGUGCGGGUUCGAGUCCCGCCUUUCGCACCA
rnacentral:tRNA from 1 species